GGUUGAUAUUCCUGUACCACCUCUUUAUCGUUUGAGCAAUGGAGGGACGCAGAAGGAUAGAAGAAGCGUGCGAUUGGUUGUGCACGUCCAAGCAGUUAGGCUGAUAAGUAGGCAAAUCCGCUUAUCGUAAAGGCUGAGCUGUGAUGGGGAAGCUCCUUAUGGAGCGAAGUCUUUGAUUCCCCGCUGCCAAGAAAAGCUUCUAGCGAGAUAAAAGGUGCCUGUACCGCAAACCGACACAGGUAGGCGAGGAGAGAAUCCU
rnacentral:rRNA from 1 species